UGGGGAAUUUUGGACAAUGGGGGAAACCCUGAUCCAGCCAUCCCGCGUGUGCGAUGAAGGCCUUCGGGUUGUAAAGCACUUUGGCAGGAAAGAAACGUCAUGGGUUAAUACCCCGUGAAACUGACGGUACCUGCAGAAUAAGCACCGGCUAACUACGUGCCAGCAGCCGCGGUAAUACGUAGGGUGCAAGCGUUAAUCGGAAUUACUGGGCGUAAAGCGUGCGCAGGCGGUUCGGAAAGAAAGAUGUGAAAUCCCAGAGCUCAACUUUGGAACUGCAUUUUUAACUACCGGGCUAGAGUGUGUCAGAGGGAGGUGGAAUUCCGCGUGUAGCAGUGAAAUGCGUAGAUAUGCGGAGGAACACCGAUGGCGAAGGCAGCCUCCUGGGAUAACACUGACGCUCAUGCACGAAAGCGUGGGGAGCAAACAGG
rnacentral:rRNA from 1 species